UCUCAUCCCUGGCCAGCAGGACCGUUGACCCACUAGUUCCUCUCCACCAAACUACUGUUCGGAGAGCAGUGCCCAAAGCCUACUUCUACAGCCUUCUCAAAACAAUCCAAUAUGGUUUACAGUGAGAAGGAGCAGCAAGUGGGGAGCAAGAUAUGAAAAACACAUCAUCUGGUCUCACAGUUAAGAGAUUAUGUGAAUCUUGGAAGAGACUUUGCAACUUACACUUUUGAAUAAUUUGGAACUGUCAAGGCUUUGAAAUGGGAAUAUGGACUUUAGUUAGAAGAUGGUAAUGUCUCUACAAAGCCUGGGGGGAUGGGAUACUCUGACUUUCAAAUGAUGUGUUUGGGUUGGAAAGGUGGCUCAGUGGGUAGAGGCCUUACUCACACGCUUGAUCUCUUGAGUUUGAUCUUUAGAUCCCACAAGGUUGUUGAAGUUAUGCCUGGAUCUUCCUCCCAGCCCCAUGCUCCCAGAAAUAAGACUUAGACUUAAAAUAUCUUUACAAAUACCUUGGCCAUAAAACUAGGCUCUUUCUGACUAGAUCAUAACUUAAAAGAAGCCCAUUUAUCCUAAUCUACAUUCUGCCAUGUGGUUGGUUACCUGUGCUCAGGUAGCGUCACAUCUUCCCUGGUGACUCUCUCUCACCUGGCAGUAUCCCAGAAUCCUUUCUGCUUACAGGAUGUGGCACCUCCUGUUUCCUAUAGGCAAUCAGUUUUUACUAAUGACAGGUGCCCCAUUCACACAGGCACAAGAUACUUUCCCUGCACAAAAUGGCAGGAGACACCUCUGACCUCCUCCAUGCAUGCUUGCCCCUGCAUGGACACAUAUGCACACAUACAAAAUACAUGAAAUAACAUUAAAAAUAACGUGUUCAGGUAAAAAAUUGACAAGGGAUGGACUUGCAAUGAUUAAUUGAUUGUCAACUGAUCGCCUAGGAGACACAUCUAGACAUGUCUAUGAGAGUGUUUCUAGAGAGAUUUAAGGCAAAAGACCCAUUCUAAAUAUGAGUGGCACCAUCUUAUUGACUGUUCCUACACAGAAUACGAAAAGGGAAAACAAAAAAAUGAGCUGAGCACUGCCAGCUACCUCUCUUUGCUUUGAAAAAUAUUUUUUGUAAACCCCAUUUAAAAAAAAAAACAAAACAAAACCUUGCAACCAAAAAAAAAAAAAUCAUAUGUCUGAAUGAA